rnacentral:rRNA from 1 species
GGAUUAGAUACCCUGGUAGUCCACGCCGUAAACGAUGUCGACUAGCCGUUGGGGUCCUUGAGGCCUUAGUGGCGCAGCUAACGCGAUAAGUCGACCGCCUGGGGAGUACGGCCGCAAGGUUAAAACUCAAAUGAAUUGACGGGGGCCCGCACAAGCGGUGGAGCAUGUGGUUUAAUUCGAAGCAACGCGAAGAACCUUACCAGGUCUUGACAUCCUCGGAACUUGGCAGAGAUGCCUUGGUGCCUUCGGGAGCCGAGAGACAGGUGCUGCAUGGCUGUCGUCAGCUCGUGCCG